UUUUGCUGACGACCGGCGCACGGGUGCGUAACGCGUAUGCAAUCUACCUUAUACUGGAGGAUAGCCCAGAGAAAUUUGGAUUAACACUUCAUAGUAUGUUUACCUCGCAUGGGGAAAACAUUAAAGGUUACGGUAUAAGAUGAGCAUGCGUCCUAUUAGCUAGAUGGUGUGGUAACGGCACACCAUGGCAACGAUAGGUAGGGGCCCUGAGAGGGGGAUCCCCCACACUGGUACUGAGACACGGACCAGACUCCUACGGGAGGCAGCAGUGAGGAAUAUUGGACAAUGGAGGCAACUCUGAUCCAGCCAUGCCGCGUGCAGGAAGACUGCCCUAUGGGUUGUAAACUGCUUUUAUACGGGAAGAAACGACUCUACGUGUAGAGUUUUGACGGUACCGUAAGAAUAAGGAUCGGCUAACUCCGUGCCAGCAGCCGCGGUAAUACGGAGGAUCCAAGCGUUAUCCGGAAUCAUUGGGUUUAAAGGGUCCGUAGGUGGAUAAUUAAGUCAGAGGUGAAAGUCUGCGGCUCAACCGUAGAAUUGCCUUUGAAACUGGUUAUCUUGAAUUAUUAUGAAGUAGUUAGAAUAUGUAGUGUAGCGGUGAAAUGCAUAGAUAUUACAUAGAAUACCAAUUGCGAAGGCAGAUUACUAAUAAUAUAUUGACACUGAUGGACGAAAGCGUGGGGAGCGAACGGGAUUAGAUACCCCGGUAGUCCACGCCGUAAACGAUGGAUACUAGCUGUUCGGCCUUCGG
rnacentral:rRNA from 1 species